CAAGCACCGCAGCUCAGCACGGAAGAGUCAAGUUCAGCAUCGAUUUAAAGUCUCCGCGUUUGACCCCUGCAACAAUAGGCAAUGGCUGACAGAGGCCAUGGCAGAGCAGACAGAGAUGCAGAGGACACAGAUGAGCUUCUUUACACAGAUCUUCACAGCAGUGUGUCUGGACUGGACUCUCCUCCUCUCAAAUUGGACCACUGCGACCUUCUCCUAGAUGCUAUUGAUGCUCAGCUUGGUCAGCUGCAGGUCCAGCCCCAGAAACAUCAGGCAAUUUCUAGAGAGCAUGAUUGCAGUGAUGCAGCUCCUCUCAACUGGAGUCAAUCUCUGAGCAAAGACACAGGGCUUGGGAGUACUACUCAAACAACUGACACUCCUAUUUCUUGUCUUGAUUUGAUAAACACUCUGACAAUGGAGCAAACAUCAGAGAGUAGCACAGACUGCCAGGACGGUCCCAUUACUCAUGAGGAAACAAAACUGAAAUUGGAAAGAAGGACAAGAGACAAGGAGGAAAUAGAGACUCAGAGGGAGCAGGUGAUGUGGAGGCUCCAGAGGCUGCUUGGAGACUCCUGUAACGAGGGAAGGAUGACAGGAGUAACCCACCCUCCUUCAGACAGCAUCUGCACUGAGGACUUUGUCAGAUGCUUCAGAGAUGAAAUGGUCGGAUUGGCAUUGCCAGUGAGUAAUGUGCAGCAACUUGACAAAGAGGAAGAGGCUGAGAGGACAGAGAUACUCAACUGUGACACUUGCCAGAGUGAACAAAAAGAACACUGUAUUCUUAAUGUCGACAGAAGAGGAACAGCAAUGACUGGGGAAAGCAAUAAAGACACAGAGACCGCUCACUAUUGUCAAAGAAAGGAACUGGAGAAAUGGGUUUAUGACAGCUAUGGAGUUAAUACAUCAUGUAGUGAGCAAGCAGGAGCUGGAGAGACAUACAACCCACCACAGAGGCUUGGUGAUGAUGGCAGUAGCAUCCACAGAACAGAGGUUGUAACAGAACAUGAAACCCUGUGGCAGAACAACAGCCGUUCUCCUAAGACCAGGAGCUUGGCAGGAGUACCUGUGUGGAGUUUUGACACCGUGUCCAUUGACAGUGACCUUGACUCAGUCUGCACAGAGCAAGUCAGGCAGCAUAUUCACAGGCAACCAGGAUGGCGCUCUCUCAUUCAGUCUGUCACGGGCAUGGAUGACUACUGUACCAACCAGAGUGACUGUGACACACCCGCACAGGAAGAAAGUGAACCUCGAUCUACAUCAGGUAAAGCAAGAUCUGACUGUGUAUUCCUUUAUGAGUCCACAGUAACAACAUUUAAAU
rnacentral:lncRNA from 1 species